GCUUGUAAUAGAUUCAGAUUAAGUAUGCUAAUUAGAUAUGUGCGCAUAAAAAGUGCGCACAAAUCUCAGUGUGUAAUUUUAAAUUCUCAGUGUGUAAUUUUAAAUUCUCAGUGUGUAAUUUCAAAUUCUCAGUGUGUGUUUUCAGUUUAUUUAUUCUCAGUGUGUCUUUUUGAAAUCUCAGUGUGUAAUUUUCAAUUCUCAGUGUGCGUUUUUCAUUUUUGUAAUCUCAGUGCGUCAUUAUGAAAUCUCAGUGUGUAAUUUUUAA
rnacentral:lncRNA from 1 species